GGGCGGUCCUGCGGCAGGGCGCGCAGCGGCACGCCACUGCCGGUGGCGAUGAAGCUGUUGCGGUAGGCACCGCGUUCCAGUGCCGGGCUGCCCA
rnacentral:tRNA from 1 species